GACAAACAGCAGGACCUUGGCGGUGGGGGAACUUAAGGAAGGGUGGUCGCCUUAUCGCACCCAAGAAGGCCCACAUCGUGCAGCAGCAAACGCUCAAGAAGUGGGUACGGAAACAUUUCCUACCAAUCAACGGGCCUCCCAAAGUGAGGAAUGGCGCGCACAAAGCGUUCAACCCAGCCGUAUGAAGGGUGCCUCAGUCAACAGGAACCCAGGUUCCUUCCACCUUGUUGCUCACCAUCCUCAACAUGAGGCUUUACCUUACGGGCCAAGACAGCUCCUGAAUCCCCAUCUAGGCAGCAAAAAGAAAGAGAGGGGCGGAGAAAUGGUCUCCAUUUAAGGACACUUUUCAGAAGUGACAAAUACCACCUCCACUCAUAUCCCAUUGCCUAGAAUUUGGUCACAUCGUCACAACUAGACACACAGGAGGUUGGGAUUCUGGUCGAGGUUGGGAUUCCGGAUUCUGGGUGCCUUGUGCUCAGUUAAGAAUUGGGGUUCCGGGACUUCCCUGGCAGUCCAGUGAUUAAGGCUUCGCACUUCCACUGCAGGUACUAAGAUCUCACAUGCCGCGUGGUGCGGCUGAAAAAGAAAAGAAAGAAAAAGAAUUGGGGUUCUAUUAUUGUAGAAGAGUGUAUCUGUGUAGUAAAGAAUUUAACUUUGCCCACAGAGAGGUCUGACCUUUGCCUUCCGCUUCUAAUAGGUCGCCAUGCUCAAUAGAUGUGUCUUUGUUUAGGUUGGGGGCUGGCCAUGGCAGAAAGUCUAUGUAACUUAGGGUGAUUUAGGGAGGGAGCUUUGGGUAUUAGUUCAACUUCAGGAGGGGCUUGGGACUGAGAUCAGCUAUCUGAUAAGUCAGCAUUACUACACGAAGAAGCCCCAAUAAAAACCCUGGACUCAAAAUUUGGGUGGGCUUUCCUGGGUGGCAGUGUUCCAUAUGUGUUGUCAUACAUUGAUGCCUGGAGAGUAACACUAUCCAUGACUACACAGGGAGAGGACAGUGGAAGCUCCAUGUUGGGUGCUUUCCUGGACACAGCCCUGUGCGCUGCUUCCCUUGGCUGGUUUUAAACUGUAUCCUUUCGCUGUAAAAAACGAUAGUCAUGGGUAGAACAGUUUUCAGCGAGUUCUGUGAGACUUUCCAAUGAAUUAUUGAAUCUGAGGGUGCUUUUGAGCCUCCCCCAAACUUGUAAUCGGUCUCAGAAGUGAGAGUGGUUUUAUGUGGACUAUGCCGUCUCUAAUUUCAUAGCAUCCCAACCAUUUCCUGAUGACGGCCCAGUGGAGCAAAAGGACAGGCUGUUUGUGACCAAAGGCUGUAUGUGCUCCAAGACUCACUCAUCUGCCCUGAAAGUGAGGGUACCAAUAUCUGAAUAAGCUUGUAACUUAGUUGUGACAUCCCAGCAUGCUGCACAAAAAGAUAUUCUGCUCCAGAAGAAGGGGAGGAUGUUGGAAGAGGAAGGAAAGCUGCCAAAAAAGCAAACUUGCCCUUUUGCCCAUAUAUCUAUACACUCCUUUCUUCCCACACGUAUACAGAUGUAUACCUUUCCCAAGAGCAGCGAUUCCAAAGUCCCUCCAGCUCAGAGACCUGCACUGUGGGUGGUAUACGGAGCUCUCCAUUGGUCCAAAGGGACUCUUUGUGGUCUGGA